rnacentral:misc_RNA from 1 species
UUUCCGUAGGUGAACCUGCGGAAGGAUCAUUAAAUAGUACCACAGAUUACAUAUGCAAAUAUGACAAUCUACUACUAUAUACCAUUCCGAGUACUCUUUUUCCAUGUCGCUUCCGCGAGGCAGUCACUUCAAGUGGCCGUUUGCUCCGGAUCUCCCUUCUUGGAGAGCCGGCUGUGGGCGAGAUUUCCUUGCGAGAGGUCAAUUACAAAUCCAAUUAUGUUUUUAUUUUGUGUCUGAAUAGAUUUUUUUUUUCUUUCUUUUUUUAAUUAAUAAAUACAAAAAAAAUAAAAUAAAAUACAAAACUUUCAACAACGGAUCUCUUGGUUCUC